CCCAUGGGGGGCGGGCAUACCAUGCAAGUCGAGCGGUAACAGGGGAAGCUUGCUUCUCGCUGACGAGCGGCGGACGGGUGAGUAAUGUAUGGGGAUCUGCCCGAUAGAGGGGGAUAACUACUGGAAACGGUAGCUAAUACCGCAUAAUCUCUUAGGAGCAAAGCAGGGGAACUUCGGUCCUUGCGCUAUCGGAUGAACCCAUAUGGGAUUAGCUAGUAGGUGAGGUAAUGGCUCACCUAGGCGACGAUCCCUAGCUGGUCUGAGAGGAUGAUCAGCCACACUGGGACUGAGACGCCAGACUCCUACGGAGGCAGGCAGUGGGGAAUUGCACAAUGGCGCAAGCCUGAUGCAGCCAUGCCCGCGGUAUGAAGAAGGCCUAGGUGUAAGUACUUUCAGUUCGGGAGGAAGGCGUUGAUGCUAAUAUCCAUUCACGAUUGACGUUUACCGCAGAAGAAGCACCGGCUACUUCCGUGCCAGCAGCCGCGGUAAUACGGAGGGUGCAGCGCUUAAUCGGAAUUUACUGGGCGUAAAGGCGGCACCGCGGCGGUUAAUUAGUUAGAUGUGAAAUUCCCCCGGGCUAACCCUGGGGAAUGGCCAUUAAAACUGGUUCAGGCUAGAGUCUUGUAGAGGGGGGUAGAUUCCCAUUUGUUAGCCGGUGAAAUGCGUAGAGAUGUGGAGAAUACCGGUGGCGAAGGCGGCCCCCUGGACAAAGACUGACGCUCAGGUCGAAAGCGUGGGGAGCAAACGGAUUAGAUCCCUGGUAGUCACGCGUAAACGAGUCGAUUUGAAGGUUGUCCUUGAGGAGUGGCUUUCGGAGUAACGCGUUAAAUGACCGCCUGGGGAGUACGGCCGCAAGGUUAAAACUAAAUGAAUGACGGGGGCCCGCCAGCGGUGGGCAUGGGUUUAAUUGAGCAAGGAAGAACCUUACCUCUCUUGACAUCGAGAAUUAGCAGAGAGUUUGUCCUUUGGAACUUGAGACAGGUGCUGCAUGGCGUGUCAGCUCGGUUGUGAAAUGUUGGGUUAAGUCCCGCAACGAGCGCAACCCUAUCCUUUGUUCCAGCUAUGUGGGAACCUCAAAGAGACUGCCGGUGAUAAACCGGGAGGAAGUGGGGAAUGACGUCAAGUCAUCAUGCCCUUACGAGUAGGGCACACACGUGCUACAUGCGCGUAUACAAGAGAAGCGACCUCGCGAGAGCAAGCGGAACUCAUAAUACGUCGUAGUCCGGUGGAGAUCUGUGCAAUCUCAGACUCCAUGAAGUCGGAAUCGCUAGUAAUCGUAGAUCAGAAUGCUACGGUGAAUACGUUCCCGGGCCUUGUACACACCGCCCGUCACACCAUGGGAGUGGGUGCAAAAGAAGUAGGUAGCUUAACCUUCGGGAGGGCGCUUACCAACUUUGGAUACAAAUUUU
rnacentral:rRNA from 1 species